rnacentral:tRNA from 1 species
GUUUCCGUAGUGUAGUGGUUAUCACAUCCGCUUAACACGCGAAAGGUCGCCGGUUCGAGCCCGGCCGGAAACA